UUCUUGUACAAAGUGGUCCCGGGUAAUACCGGGGUAAGGCUGUAGGGCGUGGUGUAGGUAAAUCCGCACUGCUUGUGCCUGAGAGCUGAUGCAUAGCCGAUUGGGGCGAAUUCGAUGAUCCUAUGCUGCCAAGAAAAGCCUCUAGCGAGUUCAUAGCGGCCCGUACCCCAAACCGACACAGGUGGUCAGGUAGUGAAUACUAAGGCGAUCGAGCGAACUAUGGUUAAGGAACUCGGCAAAAUACCCCCGUAACUUCGGGAUAAGGGGGGCCAGAGAGCGUGACGGGACUUGCUCCUUGAGCGUUGGCUGGCCGCAGAGAUUAGCGAGAAGCGACUGUUUACUAAAAACACAGGUCCGUGCGAAGUCGCAAGACGAUGUAUACGGACUGACGCCUGCCCGGUGCUGGAAGGUUAAGAGGACGGGUUAGUUCUUCGGAGCGAAGCUCAGAAUUUAAGCCCCAGUAAACGGCGGUGGUAACUAUAACCAUCCUAAGGUAGCGAAAUUCCUUGUCGGGUAAGUUCCGACCUGCACGAAUGGCGUAACGACUUCUCGACUGUCUCAACCAUAGGCUCGGCGAAAUUGCACUACGAGUAAAGAUGCUCGUUACGCGCGGCAGGACGGAAAGACCCCGGGACCUUUACUAUAGCUUGAUAUUGGUGUUCGGUUCGGCUUGUGUAGGAUAGGUGGGAGACUGUGAAGCUGGCACGCUAGUGUUGGUGGAGUCAACGUUGAAAUACCACUCUGGUCGAAUUGGGUAUCUAACCUCGGUCCGUAAUCCGGAUCAGGGACAGCGUCAGGUGGGUAGUUUAACUGGGGCGGUUGCCUCCCAAAAUGUAACGGAGGCGCCCAAAGGUUCCCUCAGCCUGGUUGGCAAUCAGGUGUUGAGUGCAAGUGCACAAGGGAGCUUGACUGUGAGACAGACAUGUCGAGCAGGAGCGAAAGCUGGGACUAGUGAUCCGGCACCGGCAAGUGGAAGCGGUGUCGCUCAACGGAUAAAAGGUACCCCGGGGAUAACAGGCUGAUCUUCCCCAAGAGUCCAUAUCGACGGGAUGGUUUGGCACCUCGAUGUCGGCUCGUCGCAUCCUGGGGCUGGAGUCGGUCCCAAGGGUUGGGCUGUUCGCCCAUUAAAGCGGUACGCGAGCUGGGUUUAGAACGUCGUGAGACAGUUCGGUCCCUAUCCGCCGCGCGCGCAGGAGAUUUGAGAAGGGCUGUCCUUAGUACGAGAGGACCGGGACGGACGAACCUCUGGUGUGCCAGUUGUUCCACCAGGAGCACUGCUGGUUGGCUACGUUCGGAAGGGAUAACCGCUGAAAGCAUCUAAGCGGGAAGCUCGCUUCAAGAUUAGAUCUCCCAUCCGUAAUGGAGUAAGGCCCCCGGCUAGACCACCGGGUUGAUAGGCCAGAAGUGGAAGUGCAGUAAUGCAUGCAGCUGACUGGUACUAAUAGGCCGAGGACUUACCU
rnacentral:rRNA from 1 species